AUUGACCUCAUUGCAGCUUCUAGAAAUUGGUGAGGUGUGUUUUUCAGGUUGCAGUGGGCAAGAAUCUUUUCUCUGAUGUGUACGCAUUCGGCCACAAGGAUGCCGAUGCCAUUUCGGAGUUUGUGCAAGUGCACAGUGGCGCAAACAUGUUGGAACUCACUGCAGGCCACUUUGUUCCUGUUGAUGUCAAUGGGAAGCUCGUGUACAAGAGAGCUGAGGAUCUCAAGGUUGGAGAUUCUCUGUGGGAAUCAUCUCAAGUCACGGGUACAAAUUUCAUGAUAUCAUUUUACUUUUUUGACACUUGUUUACAUUCCACAGAAAUCUCAAAGGUUGAGAAGCUGGGUCUCUACAACCCACUCACUCUGUCCGGCAACAUCAUGGUUAACAACGUUCUAGCUUCAGCUCACAGCGAGUGGUUCCUGGACUCCAUCUUUGAUGCCGUCGGCGCAACCGAGUACCUCCCAUACGCAUACCAGGCCGUGCUUGCUCCAGUUCGUGCCAUCUACAACAUCGUGGGCAAGGAGAUCUAUGCAAAGGGCUAUGGCGCCAUCGAUUCCAUCGCCAACGUUGCUGAGUUUGGAACCAAGUAUGGAGGAAGCAUUGCUCUCACGGUUGGAAUCGCCGGCGCCGGACUUGUGCUGGCCUCCAAGGCCUAAACAUCCCAAAAGUAAAUAAGUCAACUUAAAGCCGUAAAGAAUGUAUAUAUUUCAGAAUUUAAUUUGAAAUUAAAGCAAAAACAUAAAAAUUGCUGGGGCAUUCCGAGAAUUGAACUCGGGACCUCUCGCACCCUAAGCGAGAAUCAUACCACUAGACCAAAUGCCCAACUUGUUACCUCCAUCUAGAUCCCUGGAACAAGAACUGGUGAGCUUCCCGCUCGCAGGGCUUCGUUUGCCUCCUCCAAUCUUAACUCCACUGUCUCCGUUUUGAUCUCCAUGCUCGAAACCACUCGCAAGAACUCGAUGGCAUCCAAGCGCAUGAGAUUCGCGACCGACAGCACUCUCCUCUCGCCCCAGAUCGCCGCGUAUGGAAUCGAGGGGACUGGAGUCAUGUAAAUCUCGCCGCAAACCACCACCCCGCCCUUGCGAAUGGCUGCCAGAGCGAGCGGUACCCCACCGAAGCAAAGAUGAUGGCGGCGUCCAAGAGUUGUGGAGGCGACGCGGUGGAAUCGCCCGACCAGGUGGCUCCAACCUUUCGAGCAAAAGCUUGCGCCUCUACGUCGCCCGGUCGAGUGAAACCAUACACUUCAUGGCCUUCGUGUCUCAACACCUGGAAGAUCCAAAGCUUUUGUACGAUUCGAGAGCGGUGGAAGAGCUCGGUGUACCUGAGCAGCAAUGUGAGCAGCAGCUCCAAAUCCAUAGAUUCCAAACUUGCGGGGUUUGGGCAUUCCAGGCGUGAUCCCAGCCAUCCUGAGCGAUCGAUAGCCGAUGAGACCGGCGCAAAGGAGUGGAGAGGCUUUCACGUCCGGGUAAUUCUCCGGAAGGGAGAAGCAGUAGGCACUGUUCGCAACAGCGUACUCGGUAUAGCCACCAUCGAUCGUAUAGCCUGCAAGAAAGAAUCUUUUUCCAUGCAAAGAAGAACUGGAAACGAAGAAUAAAGAACUUGAAAGCUUUCUCACCUGUGAAGCCUGGCUCGUCACACAAAUUCUCAGCUCCAUCCACACAGUAGCUGCAGCUCCCGCAAGUUCUUCCCAGCCAAGGAAUUCCCACUCUAGCUCCAAUUGAAAACUGCAAGCGAUCCACGCCUCGCCCGAUCUUAUCCACCAGUCCCACGAUUUCAUGACCAGGGAUUAUCGGAAGAUUGGGCUCCUUGAGCUCGCCGUCGACCUGCGCGGCGAUUCUUGGAAGGAAAUCAAAGCCUGGCGCAUACCAAUGAAGAUCCGUGCGGCACACAGCGCACGCCGAGGCCUUGACGCGGACCUGGCCGUCGCGAGGCUCUGGAAUCGGGAGCUUCGUGAGCUUGAGAGCGCUUCCAGGAGCUUCAAACACCAUAGCUCGCAUCAUAGUGGGAAAAUAUUUAGGGUUCGUUAGAAUUCACCCAGUUAAAAGAAGAAUAUUCAAAUUAGAUCAUCCUCUCCAUGUGGCAAUGAUUUACAUGGGUAAGCAGCUGGUCUUCGUGGGGAUGUUUGCUGCUCAGAGGACACCCUCAAUUGCAAUCUAUAACUGUCUCCUUCUUGAGACCAAAGGAGUAGAUUUCUCAAGGGUUUUGAGUGCAAGAGGGGUGCACACAAUUGUGGAGUUUGCUGCCAAGAAAGCCCAUCUGUGAAGGCGUAGACAAAAAUAAAAUUGCUUUGCUGAAUUGCUUGAAAAUGUGGUGCUGGUGAGCCUCAAAGCACCCUGUAGAAAUCAGUGUGUGAAGCUACUUUGAAACGAUCGAGAGCUGCCAGAAAAGCCCAUUUUGGGUUUUAGGGGAAUCUCCAACAAACUUCCAGAUGGAUGCUUUGAAUAUAUUCUAAACUAUUAAUUAACUUGGGAUAGAAAAAGCCCAAAAGCGCAUCAAGCACUGAUAUGGUACUCGUAUACCACCCCCGCUCGAAAACCACACGAGGCGUGGUCUUUCUCUUGCAGGUUUUAGCACAGCUCCAAAGGCAAGUCAAGAAGGCGGUAGCGCUAAUCUCGAUGAUAAUCCUCCUCCUCCUGGUAAUCGCGGAGCUCGAGCACCGAAAUAUUUCGGAUCACCACGUCCAUAUUGGUUUUGGAUAUGUUCAAGUAAAAUGGAUCCGUGGCGCAAUGGUAGCGCGUCUGACUCCAGAUCAGAAGGUUGCGUGAAUGAAUCGCCUCUCCGGCGCCUGCGGCUCUUCAAUCCACGAGAAUGUGCUCGAGGAGCUCCUCGCAGCUUGCCCGCUGCUUGAGGAUCUGCGUCCAUAUUCUUGAGCAUCUGUCCAGGCUCACGGUGUCAAGUGGCAGCCUCUUGUUGGGGAGGAUAUUGGGGAUAUGGCAGGGAUCCAUUUUCGAAAUUUUCCUAGACACCCAGUUGACUACCCUCGAGGUUGGCAACUUGUCACAGGACAUCUGCCUCAGUUUCAAAUCGGAGAGCCUGGAAGUCCUGAAGAUCAACACCUGCUUUAAGCUCAACAGGAAAUGUGACAUGCUCUGGAGCUUGGAAAUUUCUGGAUCCUGGGAGCUCGAUAAAUUGGUGAGCCUCUUCAAGCUCACGCCCACAAUUACAGACCUUCACCUCCACCAUCUGGACAGCAUUUCCCUUCUUCUGGAGCCCUUGUUAACUUGCGAAUCAUCGAUUUCCACUCCGGCUUGUAAGAGGUGUGUGAAACACUUGGCUCGUUGUGGUUUCCUAUUUCUUAGACACCCUCUAAUCUUCUUCUUCUUGUAGGCGCUCCUAGGCCACAGCAAUCCACGUAACUUGGACGCACUUGAUUUCCACCUGUGGUUAACAGUUCGGGAGUCCUUUGGUGGGAACUCCACUGACGAUGAUAGUUCUUUCUUGAGGGACUUGUUCAGAUGCCAGGGAGCCUGUAAACCUCACACGGACUGUAGGGUUUUGAAUUAAAAAGAGAAUAUUCUUUACAUUUAAACGUAAAGUAAAAUGGAUCCGUGGCGCAAUGGUAGCGCGUCUGACUCCAGAUCAGAAGGUUGCGUGUUCGAAUCACGCUGGGUUCAUUAGAAAUUUUAUCUAUGCGUAUUAGGGUUUUUGGAAUCUGGAGAGAAUGGGGACGCUCGACAGGCUGCUCCAGGAGGAAAUCCAGGGCGAGGCGCGGCUCCUCGAUGAUCCCGUACAGGACGGCGACGAGGAGAGCGCGCAGGUCGGGAGGAUCAUUUACAAGGCUUCAUUCGAGGAGAUGGAGGACCGAUUUGUGAACUACGACUCUGUCCAAUGGUGCUUGAUCUCGCUGCUGCUAGUUCUUGCUUGGGGAGCGGGAAUUCUUAUGCUUCUCUACUUGCCCGUGAGGAGAUCCAUCAUGAGGAGCGAUUUUAGAUCACGAAAGCUCUAUGUGACCGACAAUGCGAUUGUCUACAAGGUAUUAUUUCUUACGACUCAUAAGCUUGAAUUUCAUUUGCUUGUUUCUAAGGUCUCGAGACCAGCUUGGUUUCCAUGUUUUGGAGUGAAUCGAACGGAAAAAUGCCUGAUGCUACCUCUCGUGACUGACGUUGUCAUCGAGCAAGGUUUCGUUUUUCUUCUUUAUUUUCAUUCUAGGAUAGAGCUUCCGGCUUGUUGGAUUUUUCAAACCUUUCAAACUAAGUUCUCGGUGCGUGGUUUAGACAGUGUGAUUCCCGUUCACUUUCUUCGCAGGAUGCAUGCAAUCGGCUUUCAACCUUUCAUCUCUAAGGAUCGAAAUUGCCGGGAGAUCCAAGCCUUCUCCGAGCGACGACGUGCAGAUUCAAGGACUGGCAAAUCCUACGCUCUUCCGAAAAGUAAGGACUAUCUUCUAGGAAAAAACGAAGAAGCAAAACCAAACAUUCUUUCAGGUUGUGCUGAUGGUUGCUUCCAGUUUGAAGCCUCUGCCUCGUCUCAAUGAUCACGACGUGGAAGACCUUCCUGUCCAGCCUUCCUUGAGCAAAUCGAGUGCUUGGACUUGGGGCCAAGGCACUGGAUUGUCUUCCUGGCAGGUUAGUAUACUUGCGUAUAAAAAAUUCAUGCAUACUCUUUUUCCUUCUUUUUCUGUAGAUGGGCUAUUUGCCUCUCAAAGAAGAAGCUGGCUAUAGCUACAGUGACAACAGCAGCGAGAAGCUCUUCGAGAAGCUUGAGGACAUAAGAAACUCUCUCAAGGUUAAUUUGCAUGCAAGUUUUCUUCUGAUAUCACAUGUUCUUGUGCUAUCUUUUUCAUGUUUUCCAGAGAAUAGAAGUUCUCGUUGAAGCUCAACAGCAAUCACCAAAGCGUUGAACGAAACGUACGAGGAUUUGGAAUCCAUGUUAUGUGUAUAGAACAAAUUGGAUCCGUGGCGCAAUGUUAUGUUCAUGUAAGUAAAUGAAAAGUUAAAACUGAUUUCUUCUCACCGACCGAUUUGUCUAUUUGUUCAAUAUGAUAGAGCAUAUUUUCAAUGAUACGUCCUGUUUGAAAUUUCGUGUCUAUCAUAUGUUCAAUGUGAUAGAGCAUAUUUUCAAUGAUACUGUCUGUUUGAAAUUUCGGGUCUUUCAUAUGCUUUUUUUGCUACUAUUUAACACCUGUUUUACAGUGUUAUUGCAGACUUCAGUUUUAUGUUGUGAUCUUUCGUUCUAAAUGGCUCAAGCCAGCGCUGUCCUCUUCCUUUUCUCUUUCAUUGCGUAGGACUUUCAAGAAAUAUUUCUCCAUCUAACUUCCAAACUAUCACAGGAGAUGCAACUGUUCAGAUGUAUACAGGGGAAUUUAAGUUGCUCAGUGUUGGAGACAAAGUAAAUAUUUGCUAGACUUUGGACUUUAAUAAAUAUGCACAAAAUUGUGCAGGUUGCAGUGGGCAACAAUGCUUUCUCCGAUGUGUAUGCAUUCGGCCACAAGGAUGCCGACGCCAUUUCGGAGUUUUUCCAAGUGCACAGCGCUUCAAACAUGCUGGAGCUCACUGCUGGCCACUUUGUUCCUGUUGACAUCAAGGGAAACCUCGUGUACAAGAGAGCUGAGGAUCUCAAGGU
rnacentral:lncRNA from 1 species